rnacentral:rRNA from 1 species
UGCCCUAGCGGCGAACGGGUGAGUAACACGUGGGCAACCUGCCCCUAGCACUGGGAUAACUCCGGGAAACCGGGGCUAAUACCGGAUAUGACCUCGAAGGGCAUCCUCCGAGGUGUAAAGGAUUCUGGCUAGGGAUGGGCCCGCGGCCUAUCAGCUUGUUGGUGGGGUAACGGCCCACCAAGGCUCCGACGGGUAGCCGGCCUGAGAGGGCGACCGGCCACACUGGGACUGAGACACGGCCCAG